rnacentral:antisense_RNA from 1 species
CUUGAUCGAGGAGAGCAGCAGCGGCGUGCCGGCGCGCUCCUGCCCAUACGUGGCCAGCAGCGCCUGCGCCUC